GAUGCCAUUUGUAUUCAUUUAUCUCUUGAGUCCAAAAUAUACAACUAAAAAUAUAGAUUAGGUUUAGAGUGCAAUCUUUGACUGUGAAACAACUUUCUCUGUACUGAAUCAAUUAGCCAAUACAAAACUGAAUUCCUAACUUUGGCCUUACUAAUGUUUUACCCUAAGUAUGUCAGAAUCCCAACAGAAACAGAUGGCACACAUAAACUAGGAUAAUCUGAAGAUGGGUUUAUUUGCAAAGGUGGAGGAGGAUAUAAAGGAACCACAAGGGAUGGCACAAGUUCCACUGACUAGCAGCACUGUAGCUGUCACUACAUCUAGACCCAGAAGGUCAAGAAGAGAGGUUACUGGAACCCCAAAAAGAGACAGGAUCAUGUAGAUUAGGCCAAUUUGAGAGAAGUAGUGAUCUAUUGAGGGACAUGAACAGCCUGAAGUUAUCUCAGAGAGAAGAAACAGGGGAAUAAAUACCCUGAUUCACUCUCUCCUUCCUCCCAUCUCCUGCCUAGGCUCUCCACUGGCCCAGCUCAACAGGAAGUCAGAAGAUAUGGAAGCCCAUUGAUGCAACCCAUAUACAUAAGCCUUCAAAAGGAACUGAAGAGAAAUUUUAGUCAAGAAGAGCUACAGAAUUCAAAUUAGCUGAAGCUCAGGUUGAAGAAGCAAAAGGGGACUGAGAACUGAAACCACCUGCAUCAAUAUAACAGAGAUAUUUGGAGUAAGAACUGAGAAUACCUGUGUCAACACAGCUUAGUUUUUUGUUCCAGGAAAUCUUUGCCCAGUAAAUAUAAGACUAUAAAAACCAAUAAAUUAUAUCACUGUUUGUUUCAGGCAACUGCUGCAAAACAACUUAUCUGAGACAAUGGUUUAUUUGGGUAAACAUCUGGUUUAUCAAACAACUAUUCUCAAGAGUAGCUUCAAGAGCCUCAAUGUUGCUACAUUCACAAUCCUAAAUACUACAUUACAAAAUUUGCCCAAUUUCCAUCAACAUCCUGCCUUAAAAGAACUGCCUAAAUCUACUUGCACCUAGACCCUAUAACCCUCUACGUAGUCCAAUACUGAUUUGCACCUUUUGAAAUACUAAGACUCUGUAGUGUUUUCACUUCUUGCAAUGAGUUUCA